rnacentral:tRNA from 1 species
AGAUAUAUAGCUCAGUGGUGCAGCACUUGCCUAGCAUGCAUGAGGACCUGGGUUCCAACCCCAGCACUA